rnacentral:rRNA from 1 species
UCGCUGUGAAGAUGCAGUGUACCCGCGGCAAGACGGAAAGACCCCGUGAACCUUUACUAUAGCUUGACACUGAACACUGGUCCUUGAUGUGUAGGAUAGGUGGGAGGCUUUGAAGUGUGGACGCCAGUCUGCAUGGAGCCGUCCUUGAAAUACCACCCUUUAAUGGCUGGUGUUCUAACGUAGACCCGUAAUCCGGGUUGCGGACAGUGUCUGGUGGGUAGUUUGACUGGGGCGGUCUCCUCCCAAAGAGUAACGGAGGAGCACGAAGGUUAGCUAAUCCUGGUCGGACAUCAGGAGGUUAGUGCAAUGGCAUAAGCUAGCUUGAC